rfam:Nelumbo nucifera unplaced genomic scaffold scaffold00043, whole genome shotgun sequence
UGGGAUGUAGCUCAAACGGUAGAGCGAUCGCUUUCAAUGCAAGAGGUACGAGGUUUGAUACCCCGCAUCUCCA